rnacentral:rRNA from 1 species
CCUACGGGCGGCAGCAGUGAGGAAUAUUGGUCAAUGGGCGCGAGCCUGAACCAGCCAAGUAGCGUGAAGGAUGACUGCCCUACGGGUUGUAAACUUCUUUUAUAAAGGAAUAAAGUGAGGCACGUGUGCCUUUUUGUAUGUACUUUAUGAAUAAGGAUCGGCUAACUCCGUGCCAGCAGCCGCGGUAAUACGGAGGAUCCGAGCGUUAUCCGGAUUUAUUGGGUUUAAAGGGUGCGUAGGCGGCCUUUUAAGUCAGCGGUGAAAGUCUGUGGCUCAACCAUAGAAUUGCCGUUGAUACUGGCAGUCUUGAGUACAGUUGAGGUAGGCGGAAUUCGUGGUGUAGCGGUGAAAUGCUUAGAUAUCACGAAGAACUCCGAUUGCGAAGGCAGCUUACUAAACUGCCACUGACAUUGAUGCUCGAAAGUGUGGGUAUCAAACAGGAUUAGAUACCCCGGUAGUC